rnacentral:rRNA from 1 species
GGAAGAGCUCAAAUUUGUAAUCUGGCGCUUUCAGCGUCCGAGUUGUAAUCUCUAGAAAUGUUUUCCGCGUUGCACCGCACACAAGUCUGUUGGAAUACAGCGGCACAGUGGUGAGACCCCCGUUCAUGGUGCGGAUGCGCAAUGCUUUGUGAUACCAAUUUUCCGAAAGAAGUUCGAAGUUGGUUUGGGAAUGCAGCUCAAAUUGGGUGGUAAAUCAUCUAAAGCUAAAUAUUGGCGAGAGACCGAUAGCGAACAAGUACCGUGAGGGAAAGAUGAAAAGCACUUUGGAAAGAGAGUUAACAGUACGUGAAAUUGUUGGAAGGGAAACGCUUGAAGUCAGACUUGCUGUUCGGAGUUCAGCCGCAAGGUGUACUCUCCGAGUUGCAGGCCAGCAUCAGUUUUUCGGGGUGGAAAAUCACGGUUUGAAGGUAGCAGUUUCGGCUGUGUUAUAGCUUUCCGUUGGAUACAUCCUGGGGGACUGAGGAACGCAGUGUGCUUUUAGCAGGGGUUUCGACCUCUUCACACUUAGGAUGCUGGUGGAAUGGCUUUAAACGACCCGUCUU